GACGAACGCUGGCGGCGUGCCUAAUACAUGCAAGUCGAACGCACUCUCGUUUAGAUUGAAGGAGUUUGCUCCUGAUUGAUAAACAUUCGAGUGAGUGGCGGACGGGUGAGUAACACGUGGGUAACCUGCCCUAAAGUGGGGGAUAACAUUUGGAAACAGAUGCUAAUACCGCAUAAAACCUAACACCGCAUGGUGUAGGGUUGAAAGAUGGUUUCGGCUAUCACUUUAGGAUGGACCCGCGGUGCAUUAGUUAGUUGGUGAGGUAAAGGCUCACCAAGACCGUGAUGCAUAGCCGACCUGAGAGGGUAAUCGGCCACACUGGGACUGAGACACGGCCCAGACUCCUACGGGAGGCAGCAGUAGGGAAUCUUCCACAAUGGACGAAAGUCUGAUGGAGCAACGCCGCGUGAGUGAAGAAGGUUUUCGGAUCGUAAAACUCUGUUGUUGGAGAAGAAUGUAUCUGAUAGUAACUGAUCAGGUAGUGACGGUAUCCAACCAGAAAGCCACGGCUAACUACGUG
rnacentral:rRNA from 1 species